rnacentral:sRNA from 1 species
AAGGUAGACAUAAAUACAUUAACUCAUAACCUGCAGACUCUUGAAGAAGAGAAUAAGCACCUGGCAGAUCAAAUGGCUUCCCUAGAACUUCAGCAAGUCACUUCUGAUUACCAUGGGCUUGCCCAACAGAAGGUGGAAAAAGUCUUGGGAAAAAUUACUGAAAGUAAAAAUAGACUGGCCUAUGAAAACGGAAAACUCCAGGUGAAAUCUAUUCUUGAAAGAAGUAAAGAGGAGCUGUCCCGAACAGUGAAGUGUCGUAAUGCGGCCCUGAAAGAGAGUCAGAAGUUGAAAGAAGACCUCGAGGCUGUGGAGGACAGGGAAAACAAGAAGGUGGGAAACUUUCAGCGACAAUUGGCAGAAGCUAAAGAAGACAACUGCAAAGUCACAAUCAUGUUGGAGAAUGUGCUGGCUUCUCACAGUAAGAUGCAAGGUGCUCUGGAGAAAGUACAAAUAGAGCUUGGGCGGAGAGAUUCAGAGAUUGCAGGCCUCAAGAAAGAAAGGGAUCUCAAUCAACAGAGGGUGCAGAAGCUGGAAGCUGAAGUGGACCAGUGGCAGGCCAGGAUGCUUGUCAUGGAGGACCAGCACAACAGUGAGAUUGAAUCUCUACAAAAAGCUCUAGGUGUAGCUAGAGAAGACAACAGGAAACUUGCUAUGAGUCUGGAACAAGCUCUCCAGACAAAUAAUCAUCUGCAAACAAAGCUAGAUCACAUUCAAGAGCAAUUGGAAAGCAAAGAACUUGAGCGACAGAAUUUGGAAACCUUCAAAGACCGGAUGACUGAAGAGUCCAAAGUGGAAGCAGAAUUGCAUGCUGAACACAUAGAAGCUCUAAGAAAGCAGUUUCAAACCGAGAGAGAAACUGCAAAGAAAGUGGCACAACGGGAAGUGGCUGAGCUGAAGAAAGCCCUUGAUGAAGCUAACUUCAGAUCAGUGGAAGUGUACCGGACCAACCGAGAGCUGCGACAGAAACUUGCAGAGCUAGAAAAAAUACUAGAAAGUAACAAGGAGAAAAUAAAGAAUCAAAAGACCCAAAUUAAGCUCCACUUGUCAGCUAAGGCGAAUAAUGCUCAGAAUAUAGAAAGGAUGAAGGUUGUAUGAGAAACCUCUUUUCACUUCCUGGAUACCCUGUGAGGAUGUAGUCAGUCAAUGGUGUCUAGGGAAGACAGGUUUUAGAACCCUACCAGCCCCGUGUAUUCUCUGGGAAUUAUAGCCAGUUGUCUUUGGGGAGAC